GACAGAGGGUGCAAACGUUGUUCGGAAUUACUGGGCGUAAAGCGCGUGUAGGUGGAUUGGUGUGUCAGAUGUGAAAGCCCUGGGCUCAACCCAGGAACUGCACCUGAAACUACCAGUCUUGAGUGGUGGAGAGGGAAGUGGAAUUCCUGGUGUAGAGGUGAAAUCCGUAGAUAUCAGGAGGAACACCAGUGGCGAAGGCGGCUUCCUGGACACCAACUGACGCUGAGACGCGAAAGCGUGGGGAGCGAACAGG
rnacentral:rRNA from 1 species